UUGAUGACCCUGGAGACUGUAGCCCUAUAUCCACAAGACAGGGACAGCAUGAGCUGCAGCAGGGCAAGCUUCGCUCUCACCAACCCAUGUGCCUCAUCCUUGCCUUGGAUAGGGGAGUUCAGUCUCCUUGGCUCAUUCAAUCCUUGCCAUCU
ensembl:misc_RNA